rnacentral:rRNA from 1 species
ACGGCGGCCGUAACUAUAACGGUCCUAAGGUAGCGAAAUUCCUUGUCGGGUAAGUUCCGACCCGCACGAAAGGCGUAACGAUUUGGGCACUGUCUCAACGAGAGACUCGGUGAAAUCAUAGUACCUGUGAAGAUGCAGGUUACCCGCGACAGGACGGAAAGACCCCGUGGAGCUUUACUGUAGCCUGAUAUUGAAAUUCGGCACAGCUUGUACAGGAUAGGUAGGAGCCUUUGAAACGUGAGCGCUAGCUUACGUGGAGGCGCUGGUGGGAUACUACCCUAGCUGUGUUGGCUUUCUAACCCGCACCACUUAUCGUGGUGGGAGACAGUGUCAGGCGGGCAGUUUGACUGGGGCGGUCGCCUCCUAAAAGG